rnacentral:rRNA from 1 species
AGAGUUUGAUCCUGGCUCAGGAUGAACGCUGGCGGCGUGCCUAAUACAUGCAAGUCGAGCGGUAACACUUCGGGUGACGAGCGGCGGACGGCAGAGUAACACGUAGGAACGUACCCCAAACUGAGGGAUAAGCACCAGAAAUGGUGUCUAAUACCGCAUGUGAUCUUCGGAUUAAAGCUUCGGCGGUUUGGGAACGGCCUGCGCAUGAUUAGCUUGUUGGUGAGGUAAUGGCUCACCAAGGCGACGAUCAUUAGCUGGUCUGAGAGGAUGAUCAGCCUGACUGGAACUGAGAACGGUCCAGACUCCUACGGGAGGCAGCAGUAGGGAAUUUUCCACAAUGGGCGAAAGCCUGAUGGAGCAACGCCGYGUGCAGGAUGAAGGCCUUCGGGUUGUAAACUGCUUUUCUCUGUGACGAUUAUGACGGUAGCAGAGGAAUAAGGAUCGGCUAACUCCGUGCCAGCAGCCGCGGUCAUACGGAGGAUCCAAGCGUUAUCCGGAAUUACUGGGCGUAAAGAGUUGCGUAGGWGGCAUAGUAAGCAAAUAGUGAAAGCGUGGGGCUCAACCCCAUAUACAUUAUUUGAACUGCUAAGCUAGAGGACGAGAGAGGUCGCUGGAAUUCCUAGUGUAGGAGUGAAAUCCGUAGAUAUUAGGAGGAACACCGAUGGCGUAGGCAGGCGACUGGCUCGUUCCUGACACUGAGGCACGAAAGCGUGGGUAGCAAACGGGAUUAGAUACCCUGGUAGUCC